AGAAAUGGUCAGUGUCUUCAGAAAAAGUCCGUUAGCAUCUCAACUGUAAUGCUAACUACAAGAGAUUCUUCCAUGCUGAUGGCCGUGCGUGUAUCCAGCUGAAGAACAUUUUUAGACAUUAUGAAACAUAUAACUAAGACUGAAAAUCAUUGAUAAACCACAAGAGUUUAGCUCCAACCCCAGUUAAGCAGACCUGAGCAGCUGAUCAAGGAUCAGCAGAAA